AUGAUCCCAAAGCAGGAUGUGGUGUCUGAUCCUCCGCAGACUCCUGGGUUACCUCAGGUGAACCCCGGCGUCACCUCCCGGCUGCAGCCAGCUCAGAUCGCCACAGGUUUCCAGCCACACCCGGAGCUCUCAGGCGGGCGGGGAGAGCGGAGCUGCGGGCAGCGGGCGGGCAGAGCCGGGAUCUUCCCGGCAGCGCAGCCCCGGAGAGAGGGGAGCAUCACUCUGCAGCGUCCCGGAGCCCCGGGGUGGCACGGGGCCGGGCAUCCCACCGCAUCCACCGCCUCCCAUCGCAUCCACCGCCUCCUAUCGCAUCCCAUCGCAUCCACCGCCUCCCAUCGCAUCCCACAGCCUCCCAUAGCAGCCAAUCGCUUCCCGCCGCCUCCCACCGCAUCCACUGCCUCCCACCGCCUCGACCGCAUCCAUCCCAUCGCAUCCAUCACUUCCCAUCGCGUCCCACGCCCCCUCCGCGUCCCGGCCGGCCCUGCCCAGCCCCGCGGCAGGAGGAGCGGCUCCGCCCGGCCCCGCUGCCCGAGCUGCCGGAGCCGCUCCGCGCUCUCCUCCUCGCUUUGGAGAUGCUCGAGGCCUCUGUCAUCUGUGAGCAGCUGCCACAGAGGAAUUGUCCUGGCAGAGCCUGAAGGAAUCAGGGAUCACAGCACUCCCCAGGGUGCUCCUGUUCCCUCUGCCUGUGGAUGCUGCUGCCACCAAGGACACAGCUCUUCUCCCAACAACACCCACCCGUAAGUAAAGCCCAGGCAAGAAGGAAUUUGACCUCUCAUAAGGAAGCACAAAUCAUUUCAGCUUAAACCCUGAUUACUGGAAUAAGAAAGAUAAAGUUACAUGAAUUAUUGCAUCACCGGAUUUCAAUAGAAAAUGCUGAUUAUUGAACAAUCUCUUGCAUUGUAUUGCUCUGGCCAUGUUUAGAGUUACGAGGGUGAGAAAUCCCAUGCAUAUCUCAGUGUCAGUUGUGUAAAUACUUUGAGCAAAUAUAUUUACAGUCUCAAUUUCCUUCCUUAUUGCUUUAAGAGAUUUACCAGGACAUAAACUCAGAAAAGCUGUGACAUGGCACAAAAAUGUGUGUCACCAUCACAGACAUUUUUCUUCAAUGUACUGGAGGCAGAAUUUGGUCAAUGGAUCAUAUGCUCCAAGAUGUAAAAUAUUAUUAAUCAAUUCUGGACUGUGCAUCAAUACAUGAAGUUAGCAGCU
rnacentral:lncRNA from 13 species